CCUACGGGCGGCAGCAGUGAGGAAUAUUGGUCAAUGGGCGAGAGCCUGAACCAGCGAAGUCGCGUGAGGGAAGACGGUCCUAUGGAUUGUAAACCUCUUUUGCCGGGGAGCAAAAAGCGGUACGUGUACAGCAUCGAGAGUACCCGGAGAAAAAGCAUCGGCUAACUCGGUGCGAGCAGCCGCGGUAAUCCGGGGUAGGAGAGCGUUAGCCGGCUUUAGUGGGUGUAAAGGGUUCGCAGGGGGCGAGUUAAGUCAGCGAAAAAAUUUCGGGGCUCAACCCGGAACAGCCGUUGAAAAUGGGCUGCUAGAGUGGGCGAGAGGUAUGCGGAAUGCGUGGUGUAGCGGUGAAAUGCAUAGAUAUUACGAGGAACUCCGAUGGCGAAGGCAGCAGACCGGCGCCGAACUGACGCUCAGGCACGAAAGCGUGGGUAGCGAACAGGAUUAGAUACCCUAGUAGUC
rnacentral:rRNA from 1 species